AUUGAACGCUGGCGGCAUGCCUUACACAUGCAAGUCGAACGGAUUCAAGGGGCUUGCUCCUUGAGUUAGUGGCGAACGGGUGAGUAAUGCAUCGGAACGUACCCAGUUGUGGGGGAUAACGUAGCGAAAGUUACGCUAAUACCGCAUACGACCUGAGGGUGAAAGCGGGGGAUCGCAAGACCUCACGCAAUUGGAGCGGCCGAUGUCAGAUUAGCUAGUUGGUAGGGUAAAAGCCUACCAAGGCGACGAUCUGUAGCUGGUCUGAGAGGACGACCAGCCACACUGGGACUGAGACACGGCCCAGACUCCUACGGGAGGCAGCAGUGGGGAAUUUUGGACAAUGGGGGAAACCCUGAUCCAGCCAUGCCGCGUGAGUGAAGAAGGCCUUCGGGUUGUAAAGCUCUUUCGGACAGAAAGAAAUCUUUUGGGCUAAUACCCUGAGAGGAUGACGGUACUGUAAGAAGAAGCACCGGCUAACUACGUGCCAGCAGCCGCAGUAA
rnacentral:rRNA from 1 species